CCUAUGUAUGCUGGUGCAUGCUUGUAGUCCAUGCUACUGGGGAAGCUGAAACUGGGGGAUCACUUGAGUUUGAGAGUUUUGAGCCACAGUAGAAUGUCCCACUAUGUCUUGCACCAAUAUGGUAAACUCCUGGGAGUGGAGGGUCACCAGAUUGCCUAAGGAGGGGGGAAUUAGUCCAGGUUGGAAAAAAAGUGCAGGUUAAAGCAUCUGUGCCCAUCAGCAUUGGGAUAGUUACCUGUGAGUGGCUACUGCAUUUCUGGUCUGGGGGAGAUAGGGAGAGCCGUUCUU
rnacentral:SRP_RNA from 1 species